UACUUAGAGCUCUCAAUCAGAGCCCUUUGGUGUAACGUUACUGCUUGUUUUACAUGUAACAGUGGUAAUACGUUGAUGCUUGGUUAUUAAGCAUAGAAGCUGUUCUAAUACUUCAGUCUAACAGUCCUUUUACCAACCUCUCCAUUCUAUUCAAAUCAUAAUUACAGCUCACCCUUUCUUGUCAGCUAUGCCUAUCUUGAUCCUUCCUUAACAAUGACAAUAGCCACGACAUCUACAACCGAUUGACCAACCAAUUGGAGGCCACCAUCUCUCCCUUCUUGAAUCUUGCACAAAAUGCAUACACCGCUAUCACCGUUUCAAGAAGACCACAAGCAGCAGGAACCUUCAAGAAAGGAUAAGCUCAUGACUCAAGCGAUAAGCUCUUUAGGAGUUGAGUGGUGCGAUCGGUGGAACGGUGGAAGAUCUUCAAGAGUUGAGUGGGCUUUCAAACUCGUCACCGAAACAGAACCUUCAAUAUAUUUCUGACCAUACAUACUGGAUUGGUGUAUGUUCUAUGAGCUAGAACAACUUACAGAAAAUGAGAAGACAACAACAGUAAGGAAUGGGGACUUCAAUUUGGGGGCUACAAAAGUGGUUGUUGAUUGAAUUGGAAAGGAAAAGCACAAAAAUGAAGACAUUCAAGGAUCACUUUUUGAAGAACCUUCUCAUGGAGCUCUAUUCUGCACUUGGGAAACAUUUAAGAGGAGAUUGAAGGAUAACAUAGAUUCAAAGUGACACGUAUUAACCAUUUUAAUGUUCUUUUAUAUAUUUGUUAAUCAUUUUAGUAUCUCAAAAUUCUCUUCUUAACAUGUUCAUCCCACAAAUGGUUAGACUAGCAAGCCGGUCUUGCUCAUAGAACAAUGUCAUAUGGUAUUUCGCUUCUAUUUAUCAUUGUAAACUGAACUUGAAAAAUUAUGCCUUCUUGUAUUCCAUGUAACCAAGUUUCUUGGCGUCUAUUUUUAUGUCCAACAAUGUUUUUAUUUUUAUUAUUUUAUUUUUUAAAGCUAAACAAUGCAUCAUUUAUUGCAGAAACUUUCACCACCAGCUCAAGAUUGGAGAUCACCUUAGCGAGGUAAUCAGAUCGAUUCCAUCUUAGAAAAGU